AUGAGAUCAGUGACAAGAAUAAUUAUUCUCCUAACAUUGGGUAUUAUGAGUGAUUCUAAGACCACACAGCCAAAUGCAAUGGAGUGUGCUGAAGAAGAACCUGUGCACCUGCCCUGUAACCACUCCACAAUCAGUGGAAAUGAGUACAUAUAUUGGUAUCGACAGAUUCCCCACCAGGGUCCAGUGUAUAUGAUUCACGGCAUAAAAAACAAUGUGACCAAUGGAAUGCUGUCUCUGACCAUGACAACAGACCGAAAGUCCAGUACCUUGAUCCUGCCUCAGGUCACCCUGAGAGACGCUGCUGUGUACUACUGCAUUGUGAGAAAGGCACAUUGA